CCAAAUUAGUCGUUACACCAAAUGAAACUUUUCGUCGUUACGUAAUAAUAAAUUUAAACCAUACAAUGCAAUAAACUUUACGGAGAAAGGUCAAAAAUACCCCUCAACUUUCACUUAAUAAUUAGGUUUACCCUUCAUUGCACUAUGCGGCUGUUUAUACCCCUACUGUUUGCAAACUUGUCACACAUACCUCUAUUUGGAUAGAAACCCCGAAAUUAACUCGGGUUUCUUAAGAACGAUCCCUUUUCAAGUUGAAACCCAUAUCCGACCCUCUAUCUAUCUUAAACCAAACAAAUUUAAUCCAUUUUCCAUAACCAUUUCCAAAAGAUUAAGCCUAUAAAGCUUAGUUGAUUAACAAGACUAGUUGAAAUUGUACCAGAGAAUGAGUUAUUGCUGAGAUCAAGUGUUUGAAGAAGAGGGCAUUCGGAUGCUUUGUUAAAUUUGAUACUUUUACGGCGUCUAGAAGACAUUUGGAGGAAAGAAAAGGGUUCAAAGGUCCAUCAAUGUAAACCAGAUUCUUUGGAAGUUCUCAAUUGGCAAUUGAAGCCACUUGGAAAUUCUUUUUGAAAUAGGUAUGAGAAAUGAGUUAAAUUUGUUUGGGUUAAGAUAGAUAAAGGGUCGCGUAUGGAUUUCAUUUUAAGAAAAUUCGGAUUAAUUUGGACUAAUUUGGAGGUUUCUGUUCAAGUAGGAGUACGAGUGACAAGUUUGUAGACGGCAGAGGGGUAUGAAUAGCCGCAUAGAAGAUAAACCUACCUAUUAAACAAUAGUUGAGGAGAAAAAAUAAAAAUAAAAUUUAGUUAGAUUAUGAGUCAGCACAUUUCAUUUACGAAGAGUCUAAACUCUAAAUAAAGUUGAUAUUUUCAAAGGAA
rnacentral:lncRNA from 1 species